rnacentral:rRNA from 1 species
AGAGUUUGAUCCUGGCUCAGAACGAACGCUGGCGGCGUGCUUAACACAUGCAAGUCGAACGAGAAAGACUCACUUCGGUGAGAUGAGUAAAGUGGCGCACGGGUGAGUAACACGUGAGUAAUCUGCCCCCAGGAUAGGGAUAACAUUGCGAAAGUGAUGCUAAUACCUGAUAAGCUAACAGUUGCCUUGGCAACAGUUGGAAAAGGUGGCCAAUGAUAUAAGCUAUCACUUGGGGAGGAGCUCGCGGACCAUUAGCUUGUUGGUAGGGUAAUGGCCUACCAAGGCUACGAUGGUUAGCUGGCCUGAGAGGGUGGUCAGCCACACUGGAACUGAGACACGGUCCAGACUCCUACGGGAGGCAGCAGUGGGGAAUAUUGCGCAAUGGGGGAAACCCUGACGCAGCAACGCCGCGUGAGUGAUGAAGGCUUUCGAGUCGUAAAGCUCUGUCAGAUGGGAAGAAUAAAACCGAUGAAAACAUCCUCGGUUGAUGACGGUACCAUCAGAGGAAGCACCGGCAAACUCCGUGCCAGCAGCCGCGGUAAUACGGAGGGUGCAAGCGUUGUUCGGAAUUACUGGGCGUAAAGCGCAKGUAGGCGGGUGAAUAGGUCAGAUGUGAAAGCCCUUGUCUCAAACAAGGAAGUGCAUCUGAAACCAUUUAUCUUGAGUACGAUAGGGGAGGACGGAAUUCCCAGUGUAGAGGUGAAAUUCACAGAUAUUGGGAGGAACACCGGUGGCGAASGCGGUCCUCUGGGUCGAUACUGACGCUGAGGUGCGAAAGCGUGGGUAGCAAACAGGAUUAGAUACCCUGGUAGUCCACGCCCUAAACGAUGUCAACUAGGUGUGUGAGAGUCUAACUCUUGCGUAUCGAAGCUAACGCGAUAAGUUGACCGCCUGGGGGAGUACSGUCGCAAGACUAAAACUCAAAUGAAUUGACSGGGGCCCGCACAAGCGGUGGAGCAUGUGGAUUUAAUUYGAUGCAACGCGAAGAACCUUACCUGGCCUUGACAUGUAGUGAACUUACCAGAGAUGGUUUGGUGCCUUUSGGAACACUAMCWCAGGUGCUGCAUGGCUGUCGUCAGCUCGUGUCGUGAGAUGUUGGGUUAAGUCCCGCAACGAGCGCAACCCAUGCCCUUAGUUGCCAGCGAUUCGGUCGGGAACUUUAAGGGAACUGCCGGUGACAAACCGGAGGAAGGUGUGGAUGACGUCAAGUCCUCAUGGCCCUUAUGCCCAGGGCUACACACGUGCUACAAUGGCCGGUACAGAGGGUCGCAAUACCGUGAGGUGGAGCUAAUCCCAAAAAGCCGGCCUCAGUCCGGAUCGGAGUUUGCAACUCGACUCCGUGAAGUCGGAAUCGCUAGUAAUCGCGAAUCAGCAACGUCGCGGUGAAUACGUUCCCGGGCCUUGUACACACCGCCCGUCACACCAUGGGAGUUGGCUGCACCAGAAGUAGGUAGUCUAACCUUCGGGAGGACGCUUACCACGGUGUGGUUAAUGACUGGGGUGAAGUCGUAACAAGGUAACC